rnacentral:rRNA from 1 species
GACGAGGGGUCCAAGCGUUGUUCGGAAUCAUUGGGCGUAAAGCGGGUGUAGGCGGCUCUAUAAGUCAGAAGUGAAAGCCCCGAGCUUAACUUGGGAAGUGCUUUUGAUACUGCAGAGCUUGAAUGUGGGAGAGGGUAGUGGAAUUCCAGGUGUAGUGGUGAAAUACGUAGAUAUCUGGAGGAACACCGGUGGCGAAGGCGCUACCUGCC